rnacentral:misc_RNA from 1 species
AACCAUUCUCACCUGCGGCUAGACCUGCGGAAGGAUCAUUACAAGUGACCCCGGUCUAACCACCGGGAUGUUCAUAACCCUUUGUUGUCCGACUCUGUUGCCUCCGGGGCGACCCUGCCUUCGGGCGGGGGCUCCGGGUGGACACUUCAAACUCUUGCGUAACUUUGCAGUCUGAGUAAAUUUAAUUAAUAAAUUAAAACUUUCAACAAUGGAUCU